rnacentral:rRNA from 1 species
CACCCAGGACGGUGGAUCACUCGGCUCGUGGGUCGAUGAAGAAUGCAGCAAAUUGCGCGUCGACAUGUGAACUGCAGGACACAUGAACAUCGACGUUUCGAACGCACAUUGCGGUCCAUGGAUUCCGUUCCCGGGCCACGUCUGGCUGAGGGUCG